AUGUGCUACAAGGUGGAGUGCGACAAAUGCGGCAAGAUCACCUGGAAGGGGUGCGGCAAGCAUGUCGCUUCCGUCUACGAAGACAUCGAGAAAGGAAAGCACUGCACCUGCAAGGCGUGGCCGGGUGUUGACACAGAAGGGUCGUCCUCGAACACCAAAGAAGGUGACGUGCUUUUGCUUGAAUCUUUUUCAUCUGUCCAGAAUCGCAAGACAGAUUUACUGAGAAUGGUUCCCGGGGCUGUACUUGCAGGUGGAGGAAAAGCUUGA
rnacentral:rRNA from 1 species